ACAACUUUCAGCAGUGGAAUGUUCUAGGCUCGCACAUCGAUGAAGAACGCUGCGAACUGCGAUACGUAAUGCGAAUUGCAGAAUUCAGUGAGUCAUCGAAAUUUUGAACGCAUAUUGCACUUUCGGGUUAUGCCUGGAAGUAUGUCUGUAUCAGUGUCCGUA
rnacentral:rRNA from 1 species